GCCUUCGUGAUGUAGUGGUCAGCACGCUGGGCGCGUAUUCCAGAGGUCCGUGGUUCGAGUCCCGGCGAAGGCG
rnacentral:tRNA from 1 species